rnacentral:tRNA from 2 species
GCGAGUAUAGCAUAGUGGCUCAUGCUCCAGCCUUCCAAGCUGAUUACCGGAGUUCGAUCCUCCGUACUCGCU